AGUAACGCGUAGGAGUCUACCUGGUAGUGGGGGACAACAUGGGGAAACUCAUGCUAAUACCGCAUACGCCCUACGGGGGAAAGCGGGGGACCUUCGGGCCUCGCGCUAUCAGAUGAGCCUGCGUUGGAUUAGCUUGUCGGUGAGGUAAAGGCUCACCAAGGCGACGAUCCAUAGCUGGUCUGAGAGGAUGAUCAGCCACACUGGGACUGAGACACGGCCCAG
rnacentral:rRNA from 1 species